rnacentral:lncRNA from 1 species
AAUCACCUCACUCUCCAGAGGUACUCCAUUCUUUUUUAAACGACAGGUACUCCAUUCUAACGUCUCCCCUUUUUAUCAGCAGCCACGGGUCGUAUGCACAAUUGUUUCACUUCACAAACUACAACCAUGUCAAGAAUCCAUGCUCUGGAAUGGUGGUCAUUGAACAAAGGUGAGGCAUCCUUCCUCAUUCACCCCCGUGGUUUGUAAAACCUUGAUCGUGCAACCCGCCUCUAUGUAGCUGCUAGCUAGACUGUACAUUACUAUUACAUUUGUUAUAUUUUUAAUCUCGAGAUGGAUGCUGCAUUGUUAUAUUUUUAAUCUCGAGGUGGAUGCUGCAAAACCCCAUUCAAGAACGUGCUAGAAGUCAGCUCCACGUUCGGCUAACCUGAAUCUUCAUUUGGACCUCAUUCCAUCCCAAAGUCCUCAAAUCGCUACCUAGGUAUGGGUGCCAAGUUUUUUUAGUAAUGUAUGCAUCAUCUUCAGACCUGCCUCCAAGGCUCCAUCUAGGUACAUGUUGCGUAAUAUAGCUUCACACCACUAAUUUCGUUUAGUUUCUUGAUUCAAAGUGGUACAAACUGAACCUACGAACAAAUGCAAAAGUAUUUCACUAUGCAAACUACAACAUUUGAUCUGCGCUUGUAAUAGUUCUACAGCACUUGGAAGACACUAUCGUGAAGAAAGUUAUUGGGUUUGCCACCACAUUAGCCCGACAAACACAUAUACUGAAAUGGUCGUUCUUCAACCAAAACGAAGAUUAGCAUUCUUCCUUGUUCACCCCUGUUUUAGAAUGGUCUUGCAUGGUGCAGAGUAAUUGAAUGGGAAGUAUUAAUUUCAUGGGAUCUGUGGUGCGAUGUCUAGCUAGCAAUUGGAAACACGAAUUAGUUAAUUAACUGAAGUGAUCUACUUGUUUUGUUCUUAAAUAAAACGACUUGGCUUAUCCACUUUUGCAACUCUUGUUUACACAUUAUCAGAUAGAGAUUGGCUCAUCGCUUUAUGGACAUGCAUAUCAUCACUUGUGAGAAGUCAUUUUCAGUACCAUUGAUAUUGCUUACAAACAUGUUGACCAGGGCACCAGGCGCAAACCGAAGUAUAUCCAUCCAAGAUGCUCAAAACUGUUCACUUUUUGUGCUCUUUGGUUCUAUCUUCUUGAACAACCCCACCCACACAUUUAUAGUCUAAGCCUAGAAUAUGCGUUACUUCACUACUUACUCCAUUUAUUUUGGUUUUCUCAUUGACAGUAAGUUGUAGCACAAUACUGCAUCUCAAGCCGACAUGUAUUCUGGAAUGAACGUCUUGAAACAAAGGUGAGGCUUCCUUCCUCAUUUACUGCUCUCGUUUCAGUUGUGUUUGUUCAAUCCUAUCCAUUAUCUGUAGCAUGGGUUCGCUGCUAGACUACAUUUUACUAUUCUGGCUACAAAAUAUAUGUCUCA